ACACACACUUCAGAGUUUGAUCCUGGCUCAGGAUGAACGCUGGCGGCGUGCUUAACACAUGCAAGUCGAACGGACUUUAUUUGAAGCCUAGCGAUAAUAAAGUUAGUGGCGGACGGGUGAGUAACGCGUGGGUAACCUGCCGUAUGCUGGGGGACAACAGUUGGAAACGACUGCUAAUACCGCAUAAGCGCACAGUACCGCAUGGUACAGUGUGAAAAACUCCGGUGGCAUACGAUGGACCCGCGUCUGAUUAGCUAGUUGGUGAGGUAACGGCCCACCAAGGCGACGAUCAGUAGCCGGCCUGAGAGGGUGAACGGCCACAUUGGGACUGAGACACGGCCCAA
rnacentral:rRNA from 1 species